UAGGGAAUCUUCCACAAUGGACGCAAGUCUGAUGGAGCAACGCCGCGUGAGUGAAGAAGGUUUUCGGACCGUAAAGCUCUGUUGUUGGUGAAGAAGGAUAGAGGUAGUAACUGGCCUUUAUUUGACGGUAAUCAACCAGAAAGUCACGGCUAACUACGUGCCAGCAGCCGCGGUAAUACGUAGGUGGCAAGCGUUGUCCGGAUUUAUUGGGCGUAAAGCGAGCGCAGGCGGAAGAAUAAGUCUGAUGUGAAAGCCCUCGGCUUAACCGAGGAAUUGCAUCGGAAACUGUUUUCUUGAGUGCAGAAGAGGAGAGUAGAACUCCAUGUGUAGCGGUGGAAUGCGUAGAUAUAUGGAAGAAUACCAGUGGCGAAGGCGGCUCUCUGGUCUGCAACUGACGCUGAGGCUCGAAAGCAUGGGUAGCGAACAGGAUUAGAUACCCUGGUAGUCCAUGCCGUAAACGAUGAGUGCUAAGUGUUGGGAGGCCUCCGCCUCUCAGUGCUGCAGCUAACGCAUUAAGCACUCCGCCUGGGGGAGUACGACCGCAAGGUUGAAAC
rnacentral:rRNA from 1 species